rnacentral:rRNA from 1 species
CACGGGUGCGUAACGCGUAUGCAACCUACCUUUUACAAAGGGAUAGCCCGGAGAAAUUCGGAUUAAUACCUUAUAGUAUUGUUGAUAAUCAUUUAUUAACAAUUAAAGUUUCGGCGGUAAAAGAUGGGCAUGCGUCCUAUUAACUAGAUGGAGUGGUAACGGCACCCCAUGGCAACGAUAGGUAGGGGUCCUGAGAGGGAGAUCCCCCACACUGGUACUGAGACACGGACCACACUCCUACGGGAGGCAGCAGUGAGGAAUAUUGGACAAUGGACGCAAGUCUGAUCCAGCCAUGCCGCGUGCAGGAAGACGGCCCUAUGGGUUGUAAACUGCUUUUAUACAAGAAGAAUAAGACUUACGUGUAAGUUGAUGACGGUAUUGUAUGAAUAAGCACCGGCUAACUCCGUGCCAGCAGCCGCGGUAAUACGGAGGGUGCAAGCGUUAUCCGGAAUCAUUGGGUUUAAAGGGUCCGUAGGCGGGCUAAUAAGUCAGGGGUGAAAGUUUGCAGCUCAACUGUAAAAUUGCCUUUGAUACUGUUAGUCUUGAAUUAGUAGGAAGUGGUUAGAAUAAGUAGUGUAGCGGUGAAAUGCAUAGAUAUUACUUAGAAUACCGAUUGCGAAGGCAGAU